rnacentral:tRNA from 1 species
GUAUAGUCUAGUGGUCUCCACGUUCGAUUGAUAACCCGAAGGCGCCGGGUUCGA